UACAGAGGGUGCGAGCGUUGUCCGGAAUCACUGGGCGUAAAGGGCGCGUAGGUGGCCUGGUAAGUAGGGGGUGAAAUCUCGCGGCUCAACUGCGAGGCUGCCUCCUAAACUGUCAGGCUCGAGCAGAGUAGAGGCAGGUGGAAUUCCCGGUGUAGUGGUGAAAUGCGUAGAGAUCGGGAAGAACACCAAUGGCGAAGGCAGUCGGCUGGGCCGUUGCUGACACUGAGGCGCGACAGCGUGGGGAGCAAACAGG
rnacentral:rRNA from 1 species